GACAGAGGUGCCGAGCGUUAGGCGGAAUCACUGGGCUUAAAGCGUGUGUAGGCGGGCCGUUAAGUGGCUUGUGAAAUCCCCCGGCUCAACCGGGGAAUUGCUGGGCAUACUGGCGGUCUUGAGCAAUCUAGGGGCAGAUGGAACAAGUGGUGGAGCGGUGAAAUGCGUAGAUAUCACUUGGAACGCCAACGGUGAAGACAGUCUGCUGGGGAUUUGCUGACGCUGAGACACGAAAGCCAGGGGAGCGAACGGG
rnacentral:rRNA from 1 species